rnacentral:rRNA from 1 species
GCAUAAUAAUUUGCCCGUUAAUUGCGGGCUAGCAUGAACGGGUAAACGAAAUAGAACCUGUCUCAAUUAAACUAAUAAAAAUUAGCCUCUAGAUGAAGAGAUCUAAAUAUAAUUGAAGGACAAGAAGACCCUAUAGAGCUUUACUUUUAUAAGUUAUUAAAGUAACUUACACAGUUCGGUUGGGGCGACCUAGGAAACACAUAUCAUCCUAUAACACUAAGAUUCACGUAUCCUUACAUAUGACCCUAUAAUAGAUCAAAGGAAUAAGCUACCUUAGGGAUAACAGGCUAAUCCUCCCACAGAGACCUUAUCAACAGGAGGGAUUGGCACCUC